ACAUUGGUGGUUAUGUGGUAGAAUUCUCCCUUCCAUUCAGGAGACCUGGGUUCAAUUCCCGGCCAAUGCC
rnacentral:tRNA from 1 species